rnacentral:hammerhead_ribozyme from 1 species
AUUCAGCUGAAGAGCACCAGAUAGGAUGAAACGCGCGUCCUGGAU